AUACGAUGAUGUGGACAUUAAACCAGCAUACCCUUGAACCUCUCCCACAUUUCUUGUAGUGUUUCUAUUGGUCUCUACCUGAAGCUUAAUACAUCAUCAAUUUGUUU
rnacentral:snoRNA from 1 species